UGGGGGAUAUUGCACAAUGGGCGCAAGCCUGAUGCAGCGACGCCGCGUGGAGGAUGAAGGUUUUCGGAUUGUAAACUCCUGUUACGUGGGAAAAAAUGCCCUGUUUAAAUAAAGCAGGGAGCUGAUGGUACCACGAGAGAAAGCACCGGCAAACUUCGUGCCAGCAGCCGCGGUAAUACGAAGGGUGCAAGCGUUAUUCGGAAUAACUGGGUGUAAAGAGCGUGCAGGCGGUUUUGUAAGUCAUUUGUAAAAGAGCUCGGCUUAACUGAGCAACUGCAGAUGAAACUGUAAGACUAGAGUGCAGGAGAGAAAGGUAGAAUUCUCGGAGUAGCGGUAAAAUGCGUAGAUCUCGAGAGGAAUACCGGUUGCGAAGGCGGCCUUUUGGCCUGUAACUGACGCUCAAGCGCGAAAGCGUGGGGAGCAAACAGG
rnacentral:rRNA from 1 species